rnacentral:rRNA from 1 species
GUGGAGGCAGCAGUGGGGAAUUUUGGACAAUGGGCGAAAGCCUGAUCCAGCAAUGCCGCGUGAGUGAAGAAGGCCUUCGGGUUGUAAAGCUCUUUUGUCAGGGAAGAAAAGGCUGUGGCUAAUAUCUACGGCUCAUGACGGUACCUGAAGAAUAAGCACCGGCUAACUACGUACCAGCAGCCGCGGUAAUACGUAGGGUGCAAGCGUUAAUCGGAAUUACUGGGCGUAAAGCGUGCGCAGGCGGUUUUGUAAGACUGUCGUGAAAUCCCCGGGCUCAACCUGGGAAUGGCGAUGGUGACUGCAAGGCUAGAGUUUGGCAGAGGGGGGUAGAAUUCCACGUGUAGCAGUGAAAUGCGUAGAUAUGUGGAGGAACACCGAUGGCGAAGGCAGCCCCCUGGGUCAAAACUGACGCUCAUGCACGAAAGCGUGGGGAGCAAACAGGAUUAGAUACCCGAGUAGUCCG